rnacentral:rRNA from 1 species
UACGUAGGGAGCAAGCGUUGUCCGGAAUCAUUGGGCGUAAAGCGCGCGUAGGCGGCCUUGUAAGUCCGUUGUGAAAAGUCAAAGGCUCAACCUUUGAAAGCCGAUGGAUACUGCAAGGCUGGAGUCCGGAAGAGGCGAGUGGAAUUCCUGGUGUAGCGGUGGAAUGCGCAGAUAUCAGGAGGAACACCAAUAGCGAAGGCAGCUCGCUGGGACGGUACUGACGCUAAGGCGCGAAAGCGUGGGAGCGAACGAGG